rnacentral:rRNA from 1 species
AGUGAACGCUGGCGGUAGGCCUAACACAUGCAAGUCGAACGGCAGCACAGUAAGAGCUUGCUCUUACGGGUGGCGAGUGGCGGACGGGUGAGGAAUACAUCGGAAUCUACUUUUUCGCGGGGGAUAACGUAGGGAAACUUACGCUAAUACCGCAUACGACCUACGGGUGAAAGCAGGGGAUCUUCGGACCUUGCGCGAUUGAAUGAGCCGAUGUCGGAUUAGCUAGUUGGCGGGGUAAAGGCCCACCAAGGCGACGAUCCGUAGCUGGUCUGAGAGGAUGAUCAGCCACACUGGAACUGGGACACGGUCCAGACUCCUACGGGAGGCAGCAGUGGGGAAUAUUGGACAAUGGGCGCAAGCCUGAUCCAGCCAUACCGCGUGGGUGAAGAAGGCCUUCGGGUUGUAAAGCCCUUUUGUUGGGAAAGAAAAGCAGCAGGUUAAUACCCCGCUGUUCUGACGGUACCCAAAGAAUAAGCACCGGCUAACUUCGUG